ACCCGCAGAAAUAAAGGGAUUAAAAACUGUCUUUUAAUCAGUAGGUCGAGGGUUCGAAUCCCUCAGCGGUCACCA
rnacentral:tRNA from 1 species